rnacentral:rRNA from 1 species
CCCGGCACAAGCAGCGGAGCAUGUGGUUUUAAUUCGAAGCAACGCGAAGAACUUACCAAGACUUGACAUCCCCUGACAGCUGUUGAAAGGCAGUGUCUCUUCGGAGCAGGGAGACAGGUGGUGCAUGGUUGUCGUCAGCUCGUGUCGUGAGAUGUUGGGUUAAGUCCCGCAACGAGCGCAACCCUUAUCCUUAGUUACCAGCACGUAAAGGUGGGGACUCUAGGGAGACCGCCGGGGACGACUCGGAGGAAGGUGGGGACGACGUCAAAUCAUCAUGCCCCUUAUGUCUUGGGCUACACACGUGCUACAAUGGCCGCAACAGAGGGAAGCGAGAGCGCAAGCUGGAGCAAAACCCUAAAAAGCGGUCCCAGUUCGGAUUGUGGGCUGCAACCCGCCCACAUGAAGUCGGAGUUGCUAGUAAUCGCGAAUCAGCAUGUCGCGGUGAAUGCGUUCCCGGGCCUU